AUUGAACGCUGGCGGCAUGCCUUACACAUGCAAGUCGAACGGUAACGGGUCCUUCUGGAUGCCCACGAGUUGCCAACGGGUGAGUAAUAUAUCGGAACGUGCCCAGUAGUUGGGGAUAACUUCUCGAAAGAGCAGCUAAUACCACAUACGACCUGAUGUUGAAAGGGGGGGAUCGCAAGACCUCUCCCUAUUUGAUCGCCCGUUAUCAGAUUAGCUAGUUGGUUGGGUAAAGGCCUACCAAGGCAACGAUCUGUAGUUGGUCUGAGAGGACGACCAGCCACACUGGGACUGAGACACGGCCCAGACUCCUACGGGAGGCAGCAGUGGGGAAUUUUGGACAAUGGGCGAAAGCCUGAUCCAGCAAUGCCGCGUGCAGGAAGAAGGUCUUCGGGUUGUAAACUGCUUUUGUCAGGGAAGAAAUCAUCUGGGCUAAUACCCCGGGAGGAUGACGGUACCUGAAGAAUAAGCAACGGCUAACUACGUG
rnacentral:rRNA from 1 species